UCUUCUUCAGUCUAGAAGGCAAAAGGCUUCUCAAAAUGGAGCCUUCUUUCCCCAGGAAAAGGGGCGGUCUCCAGAACAAACUGAUACAUUUGCAGGUUGCAAGCAGCAAAGACUUGCAAACUGGAAGCAGCCAAGCCCUGCAUGCUGGUUGCAAACCUAGCCAUCAGGGUGCUGCAGAAUCUGCAACAGCCCUGGAAUAAAUGCAAACAGAUGCUAUUCCUAUAACUAUGAAAAAAUGCAAACCAAACCUUUGGGGGACGGAACAGGGUCUCUUCCAACCCUCUUUAUUAUUUUUAUUAUGAUUAUUAUUAACAUUGAGGCUGUAUUUGUUCCUAUUUUGUUUUUUACUUCAAAAUAAGAUAUUUGCAGUGUGCAUGGGAAUUUGUUCAUAGAUUUUUAAAAAACGAUAGUCCGGCCCUCCAAUGGUCUGAGGGACCAUGAACUGGCCCCCUGUUUAAAAUGUUUGGGGACCCCUGCCCUAGAGCCUCCCCCCUUUCAGUUUCCAGUCAUGUAUUUUUAUAACCAGGUCCUCCAUUCUUUUCUCUUCUCUCUUUCUACCUCAGCCAUCCUGAGGAGAUGUUUAUGCCAUUCAGAGGUCUGCAUGCUUUUUAAUGUGGCGAUCUUUUGAAAAAGUUAAAAACCAAUGAAAUUGGAGCCUAAGUUUUGAAAACCAAUCAAAAUUCCUCUGUGAGGUGAUAUUUCUCCUUCAAUUUCCAGUCAUGGCUUCCGAUGUGUAUUCCCAGAACCAGGUCCUCCAUUGUCUUCCCUUCUCCUUUUCCACCUCAGAUGUCCUGAGGAGUUGUAUGUCAUUCAGGAGUUUGCAUGCUUUUUCAACAUGGUGAAGGGGCAAAGAUGCAAAAUGUACUCCUUUAAUCCAAAGUCAAAAGCAGGAGCCCCCUUCCAGUGGAGAGGGCGAGGAAGGACACCAUGAAAGUUGGAUCUUCAAACUACUAAAAGCUGUUUAUUGCGUGGCCAUAAUAAUGACAAAAUGCAUACAGGAAUGCAUUCAAAAGUUUUGUUGCAACCUGAAAUGGGUUGCAAGGCUUUUUAUUACUUUUACAUAAUGUUGAAAACACAUUAUUGUUCUUCAAAGAUCAAGAAUUUCUUUGGUCUAAAAUUGAUUACAUCACAAGCAUCUUAAGUUAUAAGCAUUUCCACUGGCUUUUUAUAAGCGUAACAGGCAGGAAAGCACAAACAAUGGCACAACAGCUCGGAAAACAUACAACAACCCAAUGGCACAACUAUGUCUCUGACUCUGAGCAUUGUAUCUGUGGGCCAUGCUUAUCUACUUCUGUUGCAACCAUAACUCCAAACGGCUGCGAAACUUAGGGAGCAUUAGCUAACCAGUUCUAUCCUGAUGUACUUUUUAUCAUUGAAAAGUAACCUUUUCUCUGCAGCAACCUUUUCCCAAACUGUCAGCAUUUUCUUAAACAUGGGCCUCAAAGGGCCUUUGCAAAUCAGGUCAUAUGACAGUAAAUUAGGACAUAUGGGACUUAUCGUGGUUGGAAACAUCCCUGAAAAUUCCCUUUUAAAACUACAUCUCCCUCACUGGUGGUCUUUAAAAACAAUGAAACUGGAGCCUAAGUUUUGAAAAACAGGUCCAAAGUCCUCUCUGUGGGAUUGUCAUUAUUUCUUCUUCCAUUUUUAGUCAUGACUUCUGACUUGUAUUCUCACAAACAAGUCUUCUGUUGUCUACAUUUGCUUUUCCUGAGAAGAUGUUUAAGCCAUUCAGGAGUCUGCAUGGUUUCAUAAUACGGGAUUCUUUAAAAAAUGUUUAAAAAACAGCAAAACUGGAGCCUAAAUUUUGAAAAACAGGCCCAAAGUCCUCUCUGUGGGAUUGCCAUUCUUUCCCCUUCAAUGUCCACUCAUGGCUUCCGACUUGUAUUCUCACAACCAGGUCCUCCAUUCUCUUCGCUUCUCCUUUUCCGCUUCAGCCGUCCUGAGGAGACGUGUAUGCCACUCAGGAGUUUGCACAUUUCUCCCACAUGGAGGCCUUGAAGAGAAGAGCCUCCCCCAAGGAAAGGGGCCCUGCUCUGGGGAAGAGACAGGGCCUCUCUGGGGCCCCAUCUUGAGGCCCUUCCUUCUGCCUCGGUCCCUUCAUGAGGGAGAACAUGGCCGCCGACUGGAGGCGGGAUUCCCAGCCAAGGCUCCUUCCUUGAGGGAUGAUGGUUCACGUCCCAAGUUCAACACAAAUCAUUCAUUUUGUAAUUUCCAUAUUUAUAUUUCACAUGCAUUUACAUUGUUUUAAGCUGCAUUGUGAUGUCUUUUCUUAGCAGUCUUGAGUGAAAAUCAAGUAAAUAAAUACAUAAGCAAACAAACCCCUCAAAAGAGAGAUUUUUGAGAGGAAUUUGUGGAAACCGUGACCCAAAACAGCCCUUUUUGAGUGUGACUGGGGUUCCUGCUGUUGCCACCCAACACUUUGAGGUGCCUGAGUCCUGGGAAUCAGGCACCACUUCAGUUUCCAUGUCUCAGUGCUGCGGAAUCCUAGGAGUCAUAGUUUCACCAGGGCCCUGCAAAGAGUGCUGCUGUCUUGCAAGUUUGCAGCUCCCAGGAGCCCAUUGCAUUGAGCCACGGAAAGGAAAGGGAUGUCAAACAGGGUCCAUUCUGUCCUGUAGAGUUAGCCCCUGGCAGCGGUCAGCUUCCCCAGGGACUUUCAGUUUGAAGGCCUUCUUUGCCCCUCAAGCGCCAUUUUGCUCUUCUCUGUCUCCGUUUGCCUCCCAACUUCUGUUUAAACCUCCUUGAGGUGUUUUCUGCUUUGUCUUUUGGGGUCUCCGUUUGGUUUUCUCAGAAACUUGGCUCAAAAGCAAGGCUUAAAUCACUCUUCUUGAACAAGGCCUCAUCCAGAUUUGUAGGACUACAAUUCCCAUCACCCAGGAGAGCAUGCUGGAUGAGGAUGAUGGACGCUGUAAUCUGACACAUCAGACAUUAUGGCACUGUGCAUGGAAUGGAAGUCAGUGUCUACUGAUGGGAAAACUGAAUGCCUACGUGGUGCAUCACGAGGAUAUCACCAAGACAAAUGCCCAGGAUAUGAAUAUAGGCAACUUUCAAUGGGAUUCCUGGGCUUAUGUCUGUUUGCACUUUAGGGUGCUUCCAGACAGCACAAAAUCACGGUCUGUUCCUCAUUACUUUUGUCCUAAAGACAUGGGGAAAGUUGAUUACAGGGCCAAAACUUUGACCUGGCAAGAAAAACAUCGCCAUCCACCCAUUUAUCAAAGUCUGUGACACACAAAGGUUUUGCCAUGUAAUCAACUUUCCCCAUGUUUUUAUAAUUGAAGCAAUGAGGAACUAACAUUUAUAACACAAGAACAAACCAGCAUUUAAAAAUCCCAUAUUUUUAAGGUGUAGGGACAUACAGAGAUUUGAAGAUCCGAAUCUUCUGGCCAGAACCGGGAUAUUCCCAUACUUUUUAAUUUCAUGGUUUUUUGGCUCCUGUGUUUUCAACUGACAUCGUCUAGCCACCUUCCAUUUUGAACUAGGAGCUCCUGGGAUAAAGGUGCUGUGUAGAUGGGCUCUCAGAUGCCACCAAAGGGUUGGAUUCUUGUUUUCAGGAAGCUGAAUACCAAUUAUUAAGUAUCAAUGUUUCCUUAACUUUAUUCAUGUGCAUUUUAUGUGUGGUAAGAGGAAAAAGAGGACCCUGUAUACAGGAAGACCAAAGACCCCAGUAGGGUCUGCAAGGCAAUGGGAUUAUCUCAAAGGAAUUUCAGGAGUUGCAGAGGAAGCCUCCUUCCAGAGAUCCCUUGGUCAUUGGGCCCCAAAGCAGCCAAACAUCAGCCAAAGAGCCUCUGGAAGAUACACCCAAGAUACACAUCUGGGGCUUCAGAGGGUCCCAUGGUCCAUCCUUCAAGGCAGAGGAACAGAAAAGGGAGACAUGCAGGGCCUCCCUCCCUCCCUCCCUUCCUGCUGCCCUCCUCCCUCCCAAGAGCAGCUCCAGGCUGGUAGUUGUUUUCCUUUGAAAAGGUUCCAUUCCUGCCAAGGUUCCAGGGCCGAUGGUGUUUACCUGGUUGCCAUGGAGACCGGGGGUUCCAAGCGGCCUCCAGUCGGUUGGCCCCGCCAUUGCCUUCCUGGCCACCAACAUGGUCAGAGGGCUCUCCAGGCAGGUCCAGCUGGGGCCGCCCCCAAGGAUGUCUUCUGGCCCAGGCCCCUCUGCGCGCCCCUCUCAGGAUGGCCCUGGAGAGGAAGAUCAGGACAAGGCACCCACAUCUCUGCUGCAUGGGCCCCGAAAACAUAGAGGUUGUUCCUGUGGAUUCUCCAAGACCUCUGGAGCCACAAGGAAUGUGCGCGGAGAAGCCCUCUCUCUGGACGCAGAACAUAAAAGUGAGGCCAGCAUCCAAGAUAAGGAAGGAGGCCUCUCCCUCUCAAGUUACAAACAAGAUAGGUUCUGUAGGUUUGUUCUUAAAUUGAAUUUGUUUGUAAGUUGGAACAGGUACAUCUUUAAAGUGUAACUCCAGCCUAGAGACAGAAAAAGAGAGAGAUCUUUGGAUAGCAUAGGGAAGGGUUAACAUCCCAGUGGUGUUUGUUUUACUGUCUGUGCCCAUUCAGAAGAUUUCACCUCACUUUCUGUCCCUGGGAUCAUUUGAUUUUGAAAAUAUUCCUCUGGCAUGCCAGGGAAGGACACACUUCAGCGCCAUAGCUCUUUACUCUGCUUCCGAGGCCCUUGGCCUACAAUUGACUCAGGACUGCCAAAGUAGGGGGACAUGCGUCAGGUGAUGGGAGCCCUAGGAAAGACCCUCCUUUUCCACUUACAGAGCUAGUUUACUGAUUUUCUUUUAAAUAUGGUAAAUAUUCAAAAACAUUUAACCCACUGAUGCCUCAAUUAAUGUAAUUUUAUUGGUAUCUAUUUUUAUUUUUGAAAUUUACCAGUAGCUGCUGCAUUUUCCACCCUCGGCUUAUACUCAAGUCAAUAAGUUUUCCCAGUUUUUGUGGUAAAAUUAGGUGCCUCAGCUAAAAUUAGGCUUAUACUCAAGUAUAUAUGGUAGAUCUUGAUAAUUGGGAAUAUCUGUGGAAGAAAGGUUUCAAAUUCACAGUGGCCACCUCAAUUAGAGACAAUUUAUAUAAAAUGUUCUACAGGUUUUAUACAAUCCCAGCUCUCCUAGCCAAAAUAGAUAAUUCACAAUUAGGAUUCUGUUGGAGGUAUAAAUAAAGAAAGGGACCUUUUUUCCAUGUGUGGUGGUCUUGUGAAUUGGUGCAGGCUUAUUGGGAAAAAAUAUCAAGGAAACAAAUAAAAUGAUCCACAACAAAGUUUUUAAAAAUCCAGGGAUUUGCCUAUUAGGGCUAUUCAGAGAAGCCAAAAAGAGAAAUUUGCCAGUACAGCUUUGCGGCUGCACAUAUAACGAUUGCCAAAAAUUGGAAAGAUGAAAAAACAUUAUCAAAGGUUGGAGGGAUAAACUGUGGGCUAACGCACAGAUGGCCAAGAUUUGAAACACGAAAGCCAUGAAGUUUUUGGAAGAAACUGGAAGCUGGCUAUAGCAUAUCUGAUGGGAGAAUUUAAGAAAUAAAAACAAGAGGAAUUAAUUGACCUAGAAGUAUAGAGAGGUAAAUAAAAUGUGCAUAAACUCUUCGAGGAUUAGUGACAGAAGCCAAGGUGGUGGGUUGCACUGUGAGCGGGAUGAGGGGUAAUUGUAUUGUAUGGGUGGUGGCUUGUCUAUGUAUGUGUAUGUCUACAUGUUUGUAAUGUGUAUUGUGGAUGCAUUAUAAUUUUAAAAUAAAAUGUAAAAAAAGAGUGUGAUGCAGUAGCCUAAAAAGCCCAUGCGAUUCUAGGCUGCAUCAAUAGAAGCAUAGUGUUGAGAUGGAGGGAAAUCCUAGUCCCUCUUAUUUGGCUUUGGUCAGACUUCAGAUGGUUCCAGACAGCAGUAAAGUCCGCUUUGACUGCCUUCACUUUAUGCAGCCGCUGUCUACAUAUCCUUCUGGUACCUACAGGGAGAACAGAGAGACAGCCCCCCCCCCAAAAAAAAACCCUUUUAAAAAUAAAAGAACUUACCCAUCCUCCAUUAGCAUGGUGCUGGAGCUUUCCUGUUGCAUAGAAAUGACAUCCUAGGAGAGGGGGGGGAGGCAGGAGCGAUUUUCCUCCACCCCCCUCCCCUUUCUCAUGGUGCAUCAUUCCUACGAUCCAAGUGAACACUGGCACCACACUAAUGGAGGCCGGGUAAGUUCUUUUAUUUUUAAAAGGGGUCUUGGGGGGGUUCAGGGAGUUACAGCACUGUUGCUUUUCUUGAGUCUGAAUCACCCCAGAAAACACAAGACGGCUGUGCAGACGGCUCCCUCAGAAGUCUCAGGACUUCUGAUUGGCCAGUCUAGACAGCAGCCAUAGUGGCUUUGCCCUGAGCCUUCCAAAGAGGCACGGAACAAACCCAAUAACGAAUUAAUUCACUACAAAGCAGGGUUUUCCUGCUUUGUGGUGAAAGCAGUCGUGAUUUCUUGGGGCGACAUCUGGACACCCCCCACAACUAUCUGACAUGGAGCGCAUUUUGCACCCUGUCUGUGUGCGCCCUUCUUCACCUGGAAUAACCUUGUGUCCAGUUCUGGGCAAAGCAAUUCAAGUAGGCUCUUGACAAGUUGGAAUAUAUCCAGAGAAGGGCAAUGAAUAUAAUCAGAGAUCUGGAAGCCAACCCCAUUCUGCCCUUCAGGCCUCAUUCUAUGAGGCCUGUAAACCAUGAAUUCCUAUGAGGACCGGCUCAAGGAGCAGGGUGUGUUUAACUUAGAGAAAAGAAGGCCGAGAAGGAUAUGAGAGCAAUUUUUAAAUAUCAGAAGGAAUGUCACAUUGAGGAGGGGGAAGCUCGAUUUCUGCUGCUGUAGAGACAAGGGCAUAAAGGAGCAAUAGAUUCCAACCACAGGAAAAGAGAAUUUGCCUAAACAUUAGGAAGAAAUUCCUGAUGGAAAAAGCUGUUUGAUUGUGGGCUUUUGCUGCCUGGGAGUCCAGUAGGGCUUCCCUCUCCUGAAUGGCAGAAGUGGGCUGGACUAGAUGGCCUUUGGUUGUAUCUGCCAACUCUAUGUUUCUUUGAAUGUAUGAAUCUACAAUCCAUCAGCAGCUGUAGCCACAGAAAUCAAGCUUACUCCCUCCCCAAUAGGACACCCCUCCAAAUGUUUAAACAUGGUCCUCAUCUCCCCUCUCUGCCUUCUCUUUUCCAAGGCAAAUAUUCCUGGCACUCUCAGCAGGUUCUCAGAGGGAGUCAUGGUUCUCAGAUUUUUCACCCUUUUGGUCACUCUUCUCUGGACACAAUCUAGUUUGUCCCUGCCUUUCCUGACCUUUGGUGCCCAGAACCUAACACAGUCUGACCAUAGCAGAAAAGAUGCCUGUCUUCAGAGGGAGACAGAGCUUUAGGGACAGAAAAUGAUUUGUGGGUUGAAUGUCCCAUGGGAACUGUGACUCCUGAGAAAGAUGACUGCCCUUUCCCCUUGGGUUCCUCCAUCCCGUUUGCUCCCUUUUCCUCAUAGAACCUGGGCCAAGGAAGCGGUCAGCAUCCAAGAAAGUAGGGCUAUUCCACUGUUUCCCAGGUGUGCCUUCGCUGAAGAAGGGAGGGGAUCCUGCAACCCUUAGCAGCCCAUGGCAGUGUGGUCAAUGCGAAAGAAUGCUGGGGUGGCAGUCCAAACUUUACUGGGGAUUCCAGUCUUGAGAGAGAGAAGGGGAUGGAAAAAGGGAGAUUGCAAUGGAAAAGCCCUUCUUCUGUGGAGCUUUGAGUCCCCCUUUCUUUCCUUACAGUUUCUGGAGAGAGACAAGCUCCCCUGGGAGGUCAGCAGCCUUUGGAGAUCCUGGAGGAGGGGGCGGCCCACGGCCUCGAUACAGAGAGGAACCUCCUUCCCAGGUUCAGGGGCACAUGGCAGGCAGAGGUCCAAUCCCUCCUUCCUUCCCUCCCUCCCUCCCUCAAUUGAGGCCAAGGGAGCCUCAGUCUGCAGCCUUAUUCCAGGAGGUUUGGGGAGGCUCCACCUGAGAGAGAGGGGAGGAAUUCUUAUGACCUUGCCUUGUCUCUCUCCUUGCAGUGUCUACAAGCUCCCUCAGCAGACAUCAACAGUAAGGGAGGGAAGGGGCUGUAAAAAGGGGACGGGUUCCUUCCUCUCCAUCCCCAAACCUCUUUUCCUCUCCCUGCCCCUCCUUGAACCUUUUUCCUCCUACUCUAGUCUUCUUACCCUGGGCUGACUUCCAAUUCCUUCUGUUUUGUCCCCAUACCCAUGAGGGAAGGGGACAGGCCCUAUUUCAAUCCUCUGCUCAAUUGGCUUUUACGGGACUCCGAAGCGGCAACACUGGCGGACAUCCCCAGCCUGGAGGAUGAGGUGUGGGACCCUCUCCCCAGCUCGAGCAGCUCCCUGGGGCACGAGGAAGAAGAAAACCCUGCUCUGCACCCUCAGAGAUGGUCCUCACUGACCCAGAGCAGGUAAGACCCAGAAUUCCCCCUGGCGAGACCUGGGACAACCACUGAGGAGGCAUUGCCCAACACCUUCCUCAGGAUGCAGAGAGGGGCCUCCUGCAUUGACGUUCUAGGUGGCAGGUUUGUCCAGAGAUGUCCAGCCUUCAGGUAGGCAGCUCUUCUCAGCUCCCUUUCAUUACCCAGUGGUCUCUGUGGCCACUAGAAAGGUAUGUUGGGACCCCAAUGCCCACUUCCUUCCAGCAGGCAUUGCACACACAUUCACCUGCUGCUGCUCUUCCUCCACUUUUGACCCAGGAGCCUCUCCAUCGCUGCCGGGUGCCAUUGUCUCCUUUUUUUCUUGACAGGCGAAAGAACACCUGCAGUGUCUUUGCUAGCUGGUUUGCAGUCCCUCCUCUGCAGAGGUCACGUGGGCAGUGGAUUACGUGGCCCGCAAACAUCUAAAGAUGGCCAUAGAUCACUUUCUGGAGUCCAACGGGAGUGCCUGUGGUGAAUUGAUAGUGCCGUACUAAAUUCACCAUAUUAUGGCCUGGAGGUGGCGCUCGAACUGUUCCUGGCCAAGGUGAAGGAGGGACCUUGGCUGGCCCAGGAGGGCAAGGAACAGGGUGGCCCCACUUUGGAUACCGCCACGGCAAGAGCAAUGCGGGCCAUUGGCAGGAUCAUCAGACACAUCAGGGACAGCACUCGCCUGGAGGCGUGGUUCCUGGAGCUUCUUUUUGUCUUGGUGACCAACAUCAUCAACGUCACAAGGCCUGGGUUGGAGGCAACCAGAAAAAAACGGAGUAACAGCUACGUUCCUCCAGAAAAACUGGCAAAGAUAAUCAUAGUGCUGGUGAAGAGGGUGUCCUGGGUGUCCUUCAAUGAGAUCUCCGAGAAGAUGCUAGAAGAACCCAGUAUCCUUCCUGAGGGUAUGGCCCUCAGUUGCAGAGCCUCCUCAAGUCCUCCCCCUCCCUACUCCUGCACAUGCUUUACAUCUGGGAGGCAGAAGCGCUGCUGGAGCAUUUGGCCAGCUUGGUGGCCUUCUACAUCCAUGUGAGGAGUGUUGCUGCUACACGUCAGCCAACACCUUCACUCCCCGGAGAAGACCUGGAUGCUGCUGACAGCCUGGCUCCAACAUCGCAGCCUGGCUGUUCAACAUCAGAACAGGCAGGGCCUUCUUCUCCUCUGCAAGUACAGGGAGACUGUGGGCCUUCAGGAGAUCCUUGACGGCGUCCUCAGGGGGCUGCAAUCCCCCCACACCAACAUGACUCCUGAACCUGGCUGGCCGGCUGGGGCUCCUGCGAAGACAGAGCCCCUGCAAAGGCACACCUGGCUGCCAGGUGACGCCUUCUCUUCCACCAUGAGGCGGCCAAGAUCUUGAAGACAGUCCUGGAAUGUUUCCAGCAUCUUAUCUGGCACCCAGAACUUCAAGAUCAGCCUUUGGGGCAGCAGUUUUUAACUUAUUAAAAGACAUGCCACUUUUUAUUUAGCUGCACCGACAAUGCACUUUAGAGAUCCCAUGGUGCCAGUUUCUAACUGCCAUCUCAAUUUAUUAAACAAGUGGCUCCUUCCCUUUAGGAUGGAAGCCGACAGGUGUGCUCCAGUCAGGUGUGUGUUGUAAGAGCUCACCAGCCAGUCUUGCUUUUUGCCUCUUUUUAUCUUUUUAUCUCAUGUAAUUUUGUUAUCUAGAACACUGCAAAUAAUAAUGAAACCCUUCACUUUGUAGACUGUUUUCCCUGUCCCAAAUGAUCUCUUCCAGUCUUGUCAAUGAAAAGCAAAGGAAGCCCUUUCUGAAUUUUUACUGCUGCAAAACAUUGCAAGAGAAGCAUGGAAAGUGUAUUGCUGAAAAAGGUCCAUGGGAGGGCACGAGAGGCAGAAAUAUUAUUCUGGAGGGGGGGGGUGCAGGAAGGAGCAGGCUUGCAUUUAAUAGCUUGUUUUGUGGACUGGUGGGUUUCUGUUAAAGCCCUCCACAGAGGUUUUUUGAUUGAAGUUUUGUGUAAUUUCCGGGCUGUAUGGCCCCAUGCAAAGAAUCGUUACCUUGACGUGGUGCUGGGGCUUGCGCACCUCGAUGAUGCCAUGAGCUAAACCAUGAAGGGGCACCCAAGAUGGGAAGGUCAUAGCAGAGAGGUCAGACUAAAUACGAUCCCUGGGUAAGGUAAUGGAAACCCACCCCAGUAUUCUUCUUAUAACUGAUCUUUAUUAAAUAUUUUCAGAAAGUGUACAUAAAAACUAAGGCAAAAACAAACAAACAAGAAGAAAAGGUGAAGAAUAGAUUUCAGAGACCCAAACCACCCAGAACCUGCAACUCAGGCCCAUUGACACUGACCCUUUCAUGAAGGUUGAGCUGCAUUUGUAUGGUCAGUGUAGGCUCAUCCCAAUUUCUCUGCACUAACCAUUUAAUUCAGUUCAAACUGCAUGAAAUGGACAGUGUAGCCAUAAAUGGCUACACUGCCAUAUACUCUAGAAUUCUAAUUAACUGCAGUUCAAAAUGGAUUAUACGGCAGUGUAGAUGGGGCCUAAGAAGAAGUGAGAGAAGAUGACAAUGAUGCCAUGUAGACUGGAUCCACAUUGCCUUAUAUUCCAGGAUUUGAUCCCAGAUUAUUUGCUAUAAACUGAACCAUAUGAGUCUGCACUGCCAGAUAAUCUAAGAUAAGAAGACUGCAUCCUGAGUCAGGGCUCCAACCAAUUAACCCAACUGCCUCUUUGUUUCUGGUACUUUUUGAUAUUUGCAGGAUUUUAAUGUUUUAAUGAUUUAUAUAGGAUUUUAAUGGCAUGUUUUAUAUUGUAUUUGAUGGUCUGGCUUUCGUGUAUUUGUUUGUCUUGCAUGCGAAAGACCUAAAUAAAUUUGGCAGGAGCUCUGGUGA